ACAAAAAUAAAUACAGGUAAAUCAUAAAUGAAAUUGAUAUUUAAAAUACCGAAGUGGCACCCACGAAUAUAAGGUUUGGUGCUAAUAAUUUGAUGAGAGCAUUUGCAUGGCAAGGAGUGAAUGAAAAUAAAAGCCUGGAUUCUUGUUGUUUAUUGCAAAUAUGCUAUUAAUUUUAUAUUGAAUACUCUUGACUCUUUGGAGACUUUUACUAAAAUAUGAUUGAUGUAUAUUUCCAUGGGCACAAUAAACUCUAGUCGACUUGACCUGUGGCAAUUUAGGAUUUUAGGCGUGUUCAUCUGGCUGUAAAGAUGGCAGAUGAAGAUCCAUUAACUGUAAGCCUGUCAGGCAGCGUAAACUUUCUUGACGAAGAAGCUUCAACCAAGAAAGUUCAAUUUGAACCGAUCAACACAACCAAUACGUCUUCAGAAACAGCUGAUCAUGAUGGGUUGUUUCGAACACAGGAUCUAAUUUCGUCUCCAUCUAUAUCAAUUUUACACGAAGAAAAUCACAGCGAAAGAAGCAAUUCCAUUCCUUAUCUUACAAUUUAUCAUGUCCGUGAUAGUAAACAAACAUUUGUACCGAAUACAAACAUGGUUGCUCAUGUUGUGGAAGUCGAAAGAUCUUCCGUCUUUAAUCACCCGUUUAAUCCAAACCUUUACGUAAUAGAACUUCAUCAUGGUGAAUUUUCAUGGCGAAUCAAGAAGCGCUAUCAUCACUUUCAAAAGUUAGACGCAGACCUU